CAUUUGGAAACGAAUGCUAAUACUCUAUAUGCCUUUAAGACAAAAGUCUGCAAGGGAAAUAUUUGUAGCUCUAGGAUCGGCCUGUACGGUAUCAGUUUGUUGGUGAGGUAAUGGCUCACCAAGACUAUGACGCCUAACUGGUUUGAGAGGAUGAUCAGUCACACUGGAACUGAGACACGGUCCAGACUCCUACGGGAGGCAGCAGUGGGGAAUAUUGCACAAUGGGGGAAACCCUGAUGCAGCAACGCCGCGUGGAGGAUGACACAUUUCGGUGCGUAAACUCCUUUUAUAUAGGAAGAUAAUGACGGUACUAUAUGAAUAAGCACCGGCUAACUCCGUGCCAGCAGCCGCGGUAAUACGGAGGGUGCAAGCGUUACUCGGAAUCACUGGGCGUAAAGAGCGUGUAGGCGGGUUGAUAAGUUUGAAGUGAAAUCCAAUGGCUCAACCAUUGAACUGCUUUGAAAACUGUUAACCUAGAGUAUGGGAGAGGUAGAUGGAAUUUCUGGUGUAGGGGUAAAAUCCGUAGAGAUCAGAAGGAAUACCGAUUGCGAAGGCGAUCUACUGGAA
rnacentral:rRNA from 1 species